rnacentral:lncRNA from 1 species
UAUUGGUUGUUUAAAUCAUCUAAGAUCAAUUACAUAAAGGUUGAUUUGACUGUGGUACUACAUCAAUUAGUACUCCUCAUCAUGUGGAAGCUACCACGACAAAGUCCCAUUGAAGUAACUACGUACUAUUACCAGCAAAGUCUACACAGAAAGGGUGCUCCGAUUCAUUAGUGGCGCAUCCAGUUAAACAAGCAAGAGGCAAAGAAGAAAAGGGCCACGAUACAGAGGAG